AGAGUUUGAUCAUGGCUCAGAUUGAACGCUGGCGGCAGGCCUAACACAUGCAAGUCGAGCGGUAACAGGGGAAGCUUGCUUCUCGCUGACGAGCGGCGGACGGGUGAGUAAUGUAUGGGGAUCUGCCUGAUGGCGGGGGAUAACUACUGGAAACGGUAGCUAAUACCGCAUAAUGUCUGCGGACCAAAGCGGGGGACCUCCGGGCCUCGCGCCAUCAGAUGAACCCAUAUGGGAUUAGCUAGUAGGUAAGGUAACGGCUUACCUAGGCGACGAUCCCUAGCUGGUCUGAGAGGAUGAUCAGCCACACUGGGACUGAGACACGGCCCAGACUCCUACGGGAGGCAGCAGUGGGGAAUAUUGCACAAUGGGCGCAAGCCUGAUGCAGCCAUGCCGCGUGUAUGAAGAAGGCCCUAGGGUUGUAAAGUACUUUCAGUCGGGAGGAAGGCGUUGAUGCUAAUAUCAUCAACGAUUGACGUUACCGACAGAAGAAGCACCGGCUAACUCCGUGCCAGCCGCCGCGGUAAUUC
rnacentral:rRNA from 1 species